rnacentral:rRNA from 1 species
AUUCCUACGGGAGGCAGCAGUGGGGAAUAUUGGACAAUGGGCGCAAGCCUGAUCCAGCCAUGCCGCGUGUGUGAAGAAGGCCUUAUGGUUGUAAAGCACUUUAAGCGAGGAGGAGGCUACUUUAGUUAAUACCUAGAGAUAGUGGACGUUACUCGCAGAAUAAGCACCGGCUAACUCUGUGCCAGCAGCCGCGGUAAUAAU